AGAAGGAUCAAAACGUUUGAGUUCAUAUCCUACUUCACUCUUACAACACGGAUACUUGACAUGGGGGUGGCACUGAAAUGUUACAAAACCCAUAAACCCAAGAAAUAUAAAUUCUGUUCCUUGAUUCGCUCCUAAUCAGAAGAGUCUCUGGUUACAUUAUGGACACCUCAAAACAUUCGGAG